GGUAGGAAUUGGCAUAGGGCGAAAAUCGCAGUGGAAUUCCGGGUGAGGGUCCAUCCUCAGUAUCUCCUGGCGCUCCUCCUGAGUCCACAUUUCAAGACGAUGUUGCACCAGAGUCUGGACCUGCCGACAUGCCAGUAUCGGUAGACCCACUUCCUGUCCCAGUGGUUUGUUAAAGGGGUAUCCUGCUCCCUUUAAGUGAAGCCCAUCACAGGAUACAGAGUAAACACUGUGAACACAUGGAAACAGAGACAAACAGAGGAGGAGGAGGAGGAGGAGGAGGAGGAGCGGGGGAUGGGAGGACAUGUCAUUACCAUACAAACACAGGGAGGAUUCCGAGUUGGUAACACGCAUGAUCCUGGCUUUAUUUGACACAUCAGCUGUGAUUCACAGAGGACAGGUUUUUACAUCCCGGUGCUGUUAUAAUCCGCCAACGUGACACUCUGUAAUUCUGACAUAUAGCAUGUACAGCCUGGGGGUGUGGAGGGAUUAUGUGCAAUUUUGAAAUGUCACAGAUCAUCUUGUUGUCCAAAACAUGGGGAGCGUGUGUAAACAUGAAGAUGGAGGUAACGGAUGAAAUGAUGGAUGGAUCGAUUGACGGACACAUCUCUCCACGACGACGGCGGUGAUGGAGAGAACGAUGAAAACGACAGAGUGAUGAAAGAGCAGCCGAGGACGAGGAGAUUACUCCAGCAGAGAUAUGCUCUCAGUUUUACAGCCACACACCAUGAAUUAAGAAAUACGGCCUGACGCUCAUAUAAGCUGGAAAAUCUCCACCAUGCUGCGCGGAGAUCAAACUUUAAAGAAACAGGAGUUAUCCGAAGAUGCUCUGACUCGGGAACAGCAAAAACUUCAGGAGAUACUUUACAUUUCUUCUGUUCUUGUCGGCUUUAGUGCCAAAAUUAGAAACGAAAUCACCCUGGAAACCUUCCAGUUCAGAUUCAGUGUGUUUUAAAGAGGCUUAGAAAGAGCUGCAGACGAUAGAAACUCAGAUUAAUGAUAGAUCUGAACAGAUCAGAUCUGCUUACCGUGGAUUUGGAUGCAGAUGUUUAUGUAACUAAAUGGAUCUGAUCA